rnacentral:rRNA from 1 species
ACUCCUACGGGAGGCAGCAGUGGGGAAUUUUGGACAAUGGGCGAAAGCCUGAUCCAGCAAUGCCGCGUGUGUGAAGAAGGCCUUCGGGUUGUAAAGCACUUUUGUCCGGAAAGAAAUGGCUCUGGUUAAUACCUGGGUGCGAUGACGGUACCGGAAGAAUAAGGACCGGCUAACUACGUGCCAGCAGCCGCGGUAAUACGUAGGGUCCAAGCGUUAAUCGGAAUUACUGGGCGUAAAGCGUGCGCAGGCGGUUGUGCAAGACCGAUGUGAAAUCCCGCGUAUACUUGGGAAUUGCAUUGGUGACUGCACGGCUAGAGUGUGUCAGAGGGG